rnacentral:rRNA from 1 species
GACGAACGCUGGCGGCGUGCUUAACACAUGCAAGUCGAACGAGUGGCGAACGGGUGAGUAAUACGUGGGUAACCUGCCCUCUUUUUGGGAUAAGCCUUGGAAACGGGGUCUAAUACCGAAUAAAGGGGGAUGGGCUCGCGGCCUAUCAGCUUGUUGGUGGGGUGAUGGCCUACCAAGGCGGUGACGGGUAGCCGGCCUGAGAGGGUGACCGUCAACAGUGGAACGGAGAUAGGGCCCAGGCUCCUACGGGAGGCAGCAGGGGGGGAUAUUGCACAAUGGGCGAAAGCCGGAUGCAGCGACGCCUCGUGGGGGAUGAAGGCUUUGGGGUUGUAAACCUCUUUCGCUUUUGAAUGGGUAGCUGGUCAAGAAGCGCCGGCUAACUGCGUGCCAGCAGCAGCGGUAAUUC